rnacentral:tRNA from 2 species
GGAUCCUUAGCUCAGUUGGUAGAGCAACGGACUCUUAAUCCGUGGGUCGAGAGUUCGAGCCUCUCAGGAUCCA